CAAGUCGAAUGCGCUUCGGGCGCAUGGCGAACGGCUGAGUAACGCGUGGGUAUCUACCUUUAAGUUGAGGAUAACCUCGGGAAACCGAGGAUAAUACUCAAUAGUCCCUUCGGGGUAAAGAUUUAUCGCUUAAAGAGGAGCCUGCGUUCGAUUAGCUUGUUGGUGAGGUAACGGCUCACCAAGGCUCUGAUCGAUAGGGGACCUGAGAGGGUGACCCCCCAGACUGGGACUGAGACACGGCCCAGACUCC
rnacentral:rRNA from 1 species